CCAAAGGCUCUUUUCAGAGCCACCUCCAAGCUCCAAAAGGAGCGUG
rfam:Pan troglodytes isolate Yerkes chimp pedigree #C0471 (Clint) chromosome 1, whole genome shotgun sequence.